GUGGGGAAUUUUGGGCAAUGGGGGAGACCCUGACCCAGCGACGCCGCGUGAGGGACGAAGGCCCUUGGGUCGUAAACCUCUUUUGCAGGGGAAGAAGAAGAUGACGGUACCUUGCGAACAAGUCCCGGCUAACUACGUGCCAGCAGCCGCGGUAACACGUAGGGGACGAGCGUUGUCCGGAAUUACUGGGCGUAAAGGGCGCGCAGGCUGUGCGUCGAGUCGGCUGUUGAAAGGCGGGGCUCAACCCCGCGAAGCGGUCGAGACCGGCGUGCUGGAGUACUGCAGAGGCAGGCGGAAUUCCCGGUGUAGCGGUGAAAUGCGUAGAUAUCGGGAAGAACACCGGUGGCGAAGGCGGCCUGCUGGGCAGUAACUGACGCUGAGGCGCGAGAGCCAGGGUAGCGAACGGGAUUAGAUACCCGGGUAGUCC
rnacentral:rRNA from 1 species